rnacentral:rRNA from 1 species
CUAGUUGGUGGGGUAAUGGCCUACCAAGGCGUCGACGGGUAGCCGGCCUGAGAGGGCGACCGGCCACACUGGGACUGAGACACGGCCCAGACUCCUACGGGAGGCAGCAGUGGGGAAUAUUGCACAAUGGGCGGAAGCCUGAUGCAGCGACGCCGCGUGAGGGAUGACGGCCUUCGGGUUGUAAACCUCUUUCGACAGGGACGAAGCGCAAGUGACGGUACCUGGAGAAGAAGCACCGGCCAACUACGUGCCAGCAGCCGCGGUAAGACGUAGGGUGCGAGCGUUGUCCGGAUUUAUUGGGCGUAAAGAGCUCGUAGGCGGCUCGUCGCGUCGACCGUGAAAACCAGCAGCUUAACUGCUGGCUUGCGGUUGAUACGGGCGGGCUAGAGUUCGGUAGGGGAGACUGGAAUUCCUGGUGUAGCGGUGAAAUGCGCAGAUAUCAGGAGGAACACCGGUGGCGAAGGCGGGUCUCUGGGCCGAUACUGACGCUGAGGAGCGAAAGCGUGGGGAGCGAACAGGAUUAGAUACCCUGGUAGUCCACGCUGUAAACGUUGGGCGCUAGGUGUGGGGGGCCUCUCCGGUUCUCUGUGCCGCAGCUAACGCAUUAAGCGCCCCGCCUGGGGAGUACGGCCGCAAGGCUAAAACUCAAAGGAAUUGACG